CCAAGACCCAACGCUGGUGGGGCAGUUCCGGCCCAGGGCGCCCGGCUUCUCCCGCUGCCGAGCCCGAACGAGCGCGCGAACCCCCUGUUGGGCAUCUCUGGAGGUGGAGCCGGCUGGAAGAAAAAAGAAAAAGGAAAACACCAGGAACGAGAUUAACAAACAGAAUUCCCAGAUAAAGCAUGACUUGGAAGGCAUGAUCAGGAAUGGAAUAAAGGGAAAAUGAAAGGCAAAAAUGAAGUAAGAAUGAACUUCUGAAAUUACGGCUUAAUGGCUCUAGAGGAAAGAAAUCUAAGAGCAAGGUCCUCACCUUGGAUAUACAGUAGAGCUUACUGUUAUUUUAAUAGCACUCACAAGGAAUUUGAGAAGUCAUUUGAGUCCUCUCUCCCUUCCCACAAGAAGAAGACUAGAACAAUGAUUAGAAGCUGAGAAGAUGAAAAAACUUGUGUUUCCAAUAAGACAUGAAAGCACUUUGUGAACUGUUAAUCAUUAGGCAUAUAAAAAUCAAACCAGGAAUAAUAAAAUCACGCAAGGAAUAAUGCAGAAAUACUAACAUUAUCAUCAAAGUGAACACUCUGGUUGCCAAAUAACAGUGGGUGGCUGGGCACAGUGGCUCACACCUGUAAUGUCAGCACUUUGAAAGGCUGAGGGAAGAUGGAAAGGGGACAAGAAGAAUAAAAUCUGAGUCCUGGGAGAGAAUCAGACCAAGCAGCUAAAUCUGAACCAUCUAUCCUCUGGAAGAAAAGAAAGGACAGAUAGCUGCCCUGCAAACCAGCUUGAGGGCUCAUUAAGGAAGUAAAAGAGUAACAGAUGACUCUUCCUUCUGGUACAGCUCACAUGAAGAGAUAAUAUUUAACAUCCAGAAGCUGCUGGAGGGCUGAGGGUGGGGAAGCAAGCCAAUGCUGAAUACACAAACAGCUAUGUUUUCACAGAAUAACAGACAAACAAUAUAUAAACAAUGUAAGCACUAUGCAGGACUAUGCGGAAGAUGCAAAAUUAUCCUCCACAGUUAAAAUGCUUUAACCAGUAGAUUGUCAGUCCCUUGAGAAUACAGACUGUCUCAGUAGCCUCAGAGCGUACCACCACUCCUGGAACAUUGCAGGUUCUCAGCAAAUGGUAGGAAGGUGUGAGUAGCUGCCAGCCACAACAUAACUAUCCAAAGCCACGAAUCCAGACAAUUUUAAGGGUUAUUGCGCCCACUUCCUUAGCUAAGUAUACAGAUGCUGAACAUAAUCUCAUCUUCUUUAUGAGUAGUUCAGUAUUGCCAUUUUAUAUAUGAAUUCUCUUCUGCCACAAUGAUGUCCCCCCCAAAUUCCUGAGGAGGGUAGGAGUAGUUCACUUUUUCACUGCAUUCCCCUGAGAAGGCUCUUUCUGAUUGUUGCAGUUGGGGUUAACUUUUAUCAACUUCAGAAAUGUACUUUAAUGCCAUUAAUAUAUAAUGCAUAUUGACCUACUCUAUUCCAAGAAAUGUAUAAGAUUUCUACGUAAGUUAUUUGCUCCAAAAAUCAUGGAAUCAUAGAAUUUUGGAGCUAGAAUGGGUCUUCGAGAUAUUCUAAUCGAACCACUUCAUUUACAAGUAAAAAAUCUGAGGUUAGGGGAGAGGCUGCUCUUAAUACUAUGCUCUUUGGAUCUCACUCCUCAACAAUAUUCUUAAUAGUGAUAAUAUUUAACAUUUUCAUAGUUCUUCAUAGGCUUCAAGUCUCUGUCACCCAAAUUUUUUCAUCCUACUAACCAUGAGAGUAAUAAUAAUCACAAAUAGCACUGGCUAGGUGUGGUGACUCACACCCAUAAUUCCAGCACUUUGGGAGACCUUGGCAGAAGGACCACUUGAGGCCAGGAGUUUGAGGACUGGGCAACAUAGUGAGACCCCCAACUCUAUUUUUAAAAAAACAGAAAAAUUAGACAUGGUGGCACGUGCCUGAAGUCCUUGCUACUAGAAAGGCUGAAGAGGGAGAAUCACUUGAGCCUAGGAGUUCAAGCUUGCAGUGAGCCAUGAUUGUGCCCCUGCACUCCAACCUGGGAGUUUAUUAGAGGGAGACCCUGCCUCUAAUAAAAAUAAACAAAUAAGUAAACACGUAAAUAAGCAGUAGCACUUACUGGUUAUUUCUGACAAACCAGUCAUUAAGUGCUUCUGCAUGAUUUCAUUAAUCGACCCCCAAUAGUUCUAUGACUAGGAUACUAUUAUUUUUGCUUGUUUAUAGAUCAGGAAUAUAGGCUUAAGGAGGUCAAGUAACUUGCCCAAGGCCACAGAGCUCGGGAAUGGAGCAGUUGAGAAUCAUCCUAAUUGCCUGGUACCAGAGCCUCUACAACAGUAUCUGGCUGCCUACUGUGCUUUCCCUGACAAACACCCCCGAAAGCACACAAAGAAGGUAUCAUACAAUAUAUUUUAAAGCAAUGCUUUGCUUGCAGUUUGAAGCCUCAUUUUAUAGGAAUUUUACACUCAUUCAAGCCUAGAAAAUAGAUUAAUUCCCUGGAGGAGAGAAUAGAGAAAGCAGCCUCCAGGGAUGCCUGUAGUUAAGGGACAAGAGCAGAAAGAGAACCUAACACAUAAUUAGGGUUACUACACUAUUCCGUACAGCCAUAAGCUUGAAAAUACACAUAUUUCAUUUCAGUGUAAAGUGUAUUGCACAAGAUUAAAACUGUGAUUAUGUAAAGUUGUUUUCAUAUCCACUCACUCACAAAUAUGAUUUGAAUAAAACAAUGUGCUGACAGGGUUGCCUGGUUACCAGUCAUCACUUAAGCAGGUACCAGCAGGCAUUUGGGCUACAUUCCUGGCACCCAGAUGGGCCAAUUUGGAAGCAGCAGUGACCUGGGCAAUGGCUGCUGUGCCUCUUAAAACCAACCACGAGGAUUAGAUGCCUGGAACUCUCUUCCACCUUGAACCAUCAUUGUUAAUUCAGUCGACAACUUUUCAAGCAUUCUGGCAACCUUAUGAAGCUCUUCCAGCUCCCACGUCCCCCGAAAAGAAACAAAUUAUUCCCUUCCAUAUGUCCCUCCAAAGAACUUUGUACCAACCUGUAGUAGCUUGCUAAUCUCAGUGUUCGGAUGGUAUUUAUCUACCCCCCUGACAGCUAAGCUUCGAGCAUUGUAGAAAAUUCCGAGGACAGCGUACUGAAGUGAAAAGAAUUUGGGCUUUGGAAUAAGAUAUACCUGUGUUUAACUCCUGGGUUAACUAUUUACUCACUGUGGCCAUGCAAAAGUUACUUAAAUGAACCUCCAUUUCCUCACCUUUAAAAGAGGCAUAAUAAUACCCACCUCAGGUGAUGAUUGUGAGAAUUAAACAAAGUAAGCACGUUCGUGGCAGCACUCAAUCAAUAGCAGCUUUUGUUAUGAAAACACCGUCCCUGCCCUUGAGCCUCUCACUGUCUAGUGGAGCGAGGUUCCCGUAAAUGACAUCUCAAAUGCCUGUGAUACAUUCUGUGAUGAAGAGCUGCAAGAGGGAUAUGGGAGCAGAGAGGAAGGUCAGCUUACCCCAGCCAGAGAGCAUCAUUUCAGGAAAGCCUCAUAGAAUAAGAAUGAAGAGGGCUCAGCUAAAUUUGUCCCAGGCAAAGGAGUACACACGACAGAACAUGGCAUGGUCAAGGAAUUGCAAGUGGUCAUUUACAAUUGAAGUUAUGGUUCAAGCUGGAGAAUGACGAGGGAUAAGGCUGGUGUAGAAAGAGCAUAGGUUUUGGAAUUCCAGCAGUCAGGAGUUCCAGCUUCACUCUCCAACCACAUAAAUAAUAACAAGUAUUAUUUAACUGUGUUUAAAUAUGUAUAUUUACAUAUUUACACUCAUAUUUCUUAUUGAAUCAGUUGGAGGAAUGGGUGAAUCAUUCCCUUACUGCAUAUUUUUUAGACACUCUCCAUCUGCCAGUCACUGUUCUAGGCACUGGGGACACAGCAGCUAACAAAACAGACAAAAGUCUCUGCCGUGGUGGGACUUACAGUUCGUGAAUCGAGAUGGGAAAGAGGGUGCAGGUGUCCAUGAGGGCACAGUGUGCUUCAUGGCCCCUGUGUCUUUAUGGUUCUCUGAUGAAAAGCUAAUAAACUGACAAGGCAAAGUUCCCAAGAGGUCUGGAUGUUAGUCCUACUUUGUAAUAACAAUGAGGAGGCUCUCAUCCUCUCCCUUAAUCGCUUCUCACUUAUCAACCCCCAGCUUCCUGUUGUGAUCCAGGGGAACCGGUGAGUUGUGUUGUUUGUCAGGAAGAAAUGUCAAGGAGAGCUCAAGUAAUUAUUGGGCUCUAAUGUCUAAAGCGAUGGCAAGAGGAAAUAGGAAAGCAGAGCACACAAAACGGCUGUGGAGAGGGAGAUUUGCCUAUCUCAGCAGCUGGGUGAUAAGUGAGCUCAGAUGCCUUGUGAUGAUGCAUGGAGGUUUCAUUUCAACAGCAGGAUAAUCAUACUUCACAUGUGUGCAUCUCUUUAGAGAAAGGGUUCACCAAGGGGAUCUCGUUUAAUCCUCAGAAAGGCUCUGUGAGGUAGGAAUUAACCCCAUUUAAUCCCAUCUCUCUCCUGUAGGUUAACUCCUCCCUCUCCACUGUGGCAUAUCACGAUGUCCGCGUUUCAGUCAUAAACAAAAAUAACUAAAGGCUUCCUUCAUUCCUUAUCCCUGUCUAGCCAUCAUGUCUUCCUCAUAGCCAAGUCCACCAAAUAUUAAGAACAUGCUUGUUAACUCCAUUGCUCCCUUUCCAUUUGCUCUUCCUACUGUGAUCAGCCCCCAAAGGCCCCGAAAUUGUUGUGACUUCCCAUAUGCCCAGUCCAAGGGAUGCCCGUCGGUCCCUAUCAUAGUUGGCUUCUUUAGCAUUUGAAGCCAUUCUCUGCUCUUUCUCCUCCUGCUCCCCAGCCUGCUCCUUGUCGGUCUUGUCCUCAGGUUCUUCUCCUCCACCAGACCUUAAUGCUGUCAACUGGGGUUCUUUCUACCACCCUUUUGUGUGUUAUGUGUCUGUGUGUUGUAUAUUUCUGUCUCUCCUGCUCUCCAAGUCAACAGGAUUUCUUUAAAAUCCUGUUCAGCCUUGUGAUUUGCGAAACCCUUUCUAGCAGCAGUAUGACUACCUCUCACCUUCUCCCUCUGCUGCCCCACCUUGAAAACAUGCGCGUUCCCCUGCCUCUUGCUUUCACAGUGGCUCUUUUCUAGCUUCAGUAAUGCUCACAUCAAUUGUGCUGUGACUGUUUGUACGUAUGUCUUCCCCAGGAGAUUGUGAAAAACUUCAGGGUCAAGACUAUGACUUUGCUAUUUUUGUUUCUCAGUGCCUGGCUAGGUACCUGGCCCAUGGUAGACACCGAGAUUUAGAAAUGUUUGAUGAAUUCUUAAGAGUCAAACCAAGAGCAAUUGAUAAACAGUCAGGGCCUGAACCCCAUUCUUCUGACUUUAAAGGUGGUAGUCUCUCUACCUCAGCAGAGAAAAAAAGCAAUGUUGCAUGUAUUUAAUUAUAAGUGCCUUGAGCCCAGUGAAUUCUAUAAAGUAAGGGGCAAGAUGGAGGGGAGGAUUUCCUUUUUCCCACAAACAUUGCCCCAGCUACCAGGUGUGGAAGGAUUGUUUGUAGCCUUCCUUUCACAUACCCCAGGAUAAAAGAAGAAAAGAAAAAAAGAAAAAACACCCACCUCCCCUCUCUUCCUUCCAGUGGACGGUCGUCACCAUCACUUCCUGUUAAGCCAGGAGGCAGGAAGCAUAUCCUAGCUCCUGAAACUUCCAAUUUCCCUCAGGUUUCAUCACAGACCAAGGGGUGGAGAGUGGUUUAAUAAGAUGCCUUGUAGCUGGACCUGUCUCUACCAUCCUGAAGCAAUACUCCUGAAGAAACCUUCAUAAAGUGGUCAAAGAUACACCUGGAAGGGAGGAAACUUUGCCUUUACCAGGAAUAAACAAGCCUUCUAGGGAGAGGCUCUGAAAUCAGACUAUGUGUGCAUUUGGCAAUUACAAGUUGAAGUUCCACCCAAAUACACACAAUCAAAGGCUUUAACCAAGGCCAUCAUUACGUGUGCAGAGCCCUCCUGCUGUUUGGGCAACAUUUUAGUGCUGCAGUGAAGCAAGAGAAAUGUCAUCAAAGCCACGAGGUACUGAGAGACUCGUUCGGCAGUGCCUUUUUUUGACCUGAUGAUUCACUUCACCUUGUCGUUUAUAAUGCUGCAGCCUGGGAGGGAAAGAAGGAAAUGAAGAGGAAAAGAGUAGGCUGUGUUGUGCAUGUAAUUUGUUUCGCUAUUUCAGACGGCUUUUUAAUGAGCUUUCUCAUUAAGGGCUCCGUGAGUCUAUGCUUAAAGUUUUCCGGACAAGCAAAUAAGCAAGACUGAAAUCAGAUGGCAUCAGCCCAGGACCUCAUAGUUUGUUUCAAAGCUACAGUCACGGGGAAUGGGGGUGCUUAAAAAACAUUCUUUGUGAGAACAGAGAUUUGAUAACUCUUUUGUCUUAAAACAUUUGAAAAUGAAUGAUGUGGUUUUAAUUAACCCCCAUGAAAAUUCCAACAUUCAUCAAGUAUUAGAAUAGUAGAGUGUAUCUGUGAUAGCAUUUCUCUAUUCAGCUGGUUCCCAUGGAGAGAGGUAAUUGUCCUGUGCUAUCCUAGCCCUGAGUUCAUAUUUCUGGUAGAGUACCCAUAACAUUGCAUUAGAGAUGAUGUCCCCUCUAGGUGCUGACCCUUGUAUGAUAGGCAGUCAGCCUUACCCAGUCCUCCUUUAUAUUUCCAGAGCCCAAUACAGUGUCCAGACAUACAGUAGACACUCAAUAAAGGUAGUUUUGCCAUUUAAAUGAAUUCAUUAGGUACAAUUAAUACAUGAACAAGUACAUAAAAGACUUAGACUUGAGUAGUAGACUUCACAUCAGGGUAAUUAAUCAUCUCGCAAGGUUCAACAUUUUAAUUUGCGAACAGUCCCUUAUUAAAGCGGCAUCCUUCAGUUAAAAUUAUCAAGAGGGAGGCCAGAUGCGAUGGCUCACCCCUGUAAUCCCAGUACUUUGGGAGGCCGAGGCGGGCAGAUCACCUGAGGUCAGAAGUUAGAGACCAGCCUGACCAACAUGGUGAAAUCCCAUCCCUACUAAAAAUACAAAAAUUAGCUGGAUGUGGUGGUGCAUGCCUAUAACCCCAGCUAUUCGGGAGGCUGAGGCACAAGAAUCGCGUGAACCUGGGAGGUGGAUGCUUCAGUGAGCUGAGACUGUGCCACUGCACUCCAGCCUCAGUAACAGAGCAAGACUCCAUCUAAAAUAAAUAAUAAAUAAAUAAUAAAAUAAAAUAAUCAAGAAACGUACUGGUGGGGAUUUGAAGUGUUUU